GAGGGGUACAGAGAGUGCUUGCACUCUGCUGACGACCGGCGCACGGGUGCGUAACGCGUAUGCAACCUACCUUUUACAGAGGGAUACCCAAGAGAAAUUUUGAAUAAUACCUCAUAAGCUCUAUUCGUAUCAUUAUUUAUAGAGGAAAACUUCGGUGGUAAUUGAUGGGCAUGCGUCCUAUUAGUUUGUUGGUAAGGUAACGGCUUACCAAGACUACGAUAGGUAGGGGUCCUGAGAGGGAGAUCCCCCACACUGGUACUGAGACACGGACCAGACUUCCACGGAAGGCAGCAGUAAGGAAUAUUGGACAAUGGAGGAAACUCUGAUCCAGCCAUGCAGCGUGCAGGAAGAAUGCCCUAUGGGUUGUAAACUGCUUUUAUACAGGAAGAAACUUUUCCACGUGUGGAAAACUGACGGUACUGUACGAAUAAGGAUCGGCUAACUCCGUGCCAGCAGCCGCGGUAAUACGGAGGAUCCUAGCGUUAUCCGGAAUUAUUGGGUUUAAAGGGU
rnacentral:rRNA from 1 species